GACACCACUCGCCCCGUCCCCCUAUUCCUUCUUACUUCUCGAGGAAGAGAGGAGGGGCGCGCCGGGGACUCUGCGUGUUCCGGAGCGCGAGCUCCUUGUGCACCGAACCUCGUGAACGAGACCUCCUCCCAUCAUUGUUAGCAUGUGCGACUGCCGGCAGGGACUUUUACUGGGCGGGAGUUGUUGACGGCGUGUUGCUCGCUCGACUCGAGCGACAAGACUCUCGACUCCCAAAACCCCGGAGUUUCGUGUUGUCGGUGGUGUUUUAUCGUACAUCAUUUGGUGAGAGGAUUAUCAAGUUGUAGUUCCGGUUGCCUCAUCACCUACCUACUUACUUACUUACUUGAUAGAUAGAUAAGUCUAGGUGAUGAUACUACCCCAACUUUCG
rnacentral:misc_RNA from 1 species